GAUGAACGCUGGCGGCGUGCCUAAUACAUGCCAGUCGAGCGAACAGAUGAGGAGCUUGCUCCUCUGACGUUAGCGGCGGACGGGUGAGUAACACGUGGAUAACCUACCUAUAAGACUGGGAUAACUUCGGGAAACCGGAGCUAAUACCGGAUAAUAUAUUGAACCGCAUGGUUCAAUAGUGAAAGACGGUUUUGCUGUCACUUAUAGAUGGAUCCGCGCCGCAUUAGCUAGUUGGUAAGGUAACGGCUUACCAAGGCAACGAUGCGUAGCCGACCUGAGAGGGUGAUCGGCCCCACUAGAACUGAGACACGGUCCAGAACACGACGGGAGGCAGCCGUCGGGAAUCUUCCGCAUUGAGCGAAAGCCUGACGGAGCAACGCCGCGUGAGUGAUGAAGGUCUUCGGAUCGUAAAACUCUGUUAUCAGGGAAGAACAAAUGUGUAAGUAACUAUGCACGUCUUGACGGUACCUAAUCAGAAAGCCACGGCUAACUACGUG
rnacentral:rRNA from 1 species